UGAUUCGGGGGGCCGGGCCUCACUGAUCACUGUAGGAAAACACAACUUUAUAACUUUAUUCGUUAUUUUUGGUGAAUCUCGAUCGAAUUUUAUGGAUAAAAUAUUUUGUGGCUCUUCCUCUACUGCUCUCCGGCUGUUCGGCCGCAACAGUUUGCGGAUGGACUGAUAGCUUUCUGUACUUGUUGCUAAAGUAGCGGCUAACUGGUUAGCCUCCAUUAGCUAGUCACCGCAGUUAGCCGGCACCUACCAGUCCUGUUAGCUGACUCUACCCCGACUGCGAGCUUCGAGCGCCGGUAGGAGUUUUGGUUUUCACACCGCUAGCACCGGAGCUUUGGUCCACCGGGGGGAGGAGGUUCCCAGGCCCGGGGUGGGAGGGGUGGGGGGCGCAGCGGGAAAUGCUGGCUGGGAGCGGCACCGGAAUGGGCACCAGAACCGGAUCCGGACGGGCGGGCAACGGAACCGGGCUUAACAGCCUCGCGGUGAACACAGCUGGACCAGGACCCAACACAGCGUCUGGGACCGACGGGGGCCAGUUCGAGGACAGAGAAUACAGUACCGAGGUGGUUUACAGCGGCUCCGAACAGGACUCGGACUCCGGGGAUGAGGAGGACGCGGCGGGUUCAGGCGGGGACAGGAGAGGAGUGAAGCGGGAGAGGAGCGAGCGGGAGGUCGGGCAUCAGUCAGCACACACCUCCGGAGGCCUGAGCGGGAGUUACGUCGGGGUCAGUCCCGGGGUGCCAGGGGCCAAACCCGGCAAGAAAACCAGAGGAAGAGUCAAGAUCAAGAUGGAGUUCAUAGACAACAAACUGCGGCGGUACACAACUUUCAGCAAGAGGAAGACUGGGAUCAUGAAGAAGGCGUACGAGUUGUCCACGUUGACCGGUACUCAGGUGUUGCUGCUGGUUGCCAGUGAGACGGGUCACGUGUACACCUUUGCCACCAGGAAGCUGCAGCCCAUGAUCACCUCGGAGACGGGGAAGGCUCUGAUCCAGACCUGCCUCAACUCUCCGGACUCCCCGCCUCGCUCCGACCCCUCCUCCGACCAGAGGAUGAGCGCCACGGGCUUUGAGGAGACCGACCUCACCUACCAGGUGUCUGAGGCGGACGGGUGCUCAGAGGUCACCAAGGAUCUGAUCAAACCAGCGUUCACCAUGUCCAGCCUGCCCGGCACCACACAGCCCACGCCCUCUUCCUCCUCCGCCUCCUCCUCGUCUUUGUCCUCUGUGUCCAUGCAGGUGCAAACCAGCGCCCCCUCGUGGCAGCCACCGUCCUCCACCACCAACGGGACGGUGCUGAAGACGUCGGCAGGUGUCGUGCUUCCUGGAGGCUUCACCUUGAUGCCAGGUGCCUCGCUGCCCCCCGGCACACACACCAUUCCCCUCAGCCAGCUGCAGAGCCAGCCUCUGGCCAUCCAGGGCCCCGUCGCCCCGGGCCACGCUGCCACGAUGCACGCUCCGCCCACACAGCCAGCCACGCUGCUCCGCCUCCCCGCCACCGUGUCACUGUCAGGAGGCGGAGUCUCUCAGCAGCUGCAAACCAUCCAGGUCCAGCCCAGCAGUCAGCAGGCCUCCACCAAUCAGAGCAGCUCAGACAUCCACAACCCCACCUCCUCCACAGCCAGUCUUUCUGCGUCCAUCGUCUCCUCCUCAUCAUCCUCCUCUUCCUCAGUGGCAGGUCACAUGAUGUAUCCAGGUGGUCACACGGUGAUGUACGCUGCACCAACGCCUUCGCUUGGUGACGGCAGCCUCACCGUCCUCAACACCUUCCCUCCGACAGGCCACGCCCAGUCACAUGAUCCCGGGGCUGUCCCGCAGGUCUUCCUCACCUCGCUCCCUCCGGUCGCCGCUCAGAUCCCGGUGUCGGCGGUCCAGCUCCACCCGAUGGUGAUCAGUCAGCAGAGCAGCAGCAGCAGCAACCUGACGGAGCUGCAGGUCGUCAGUCUGGACGUCCACCAAGCAAAAGACGACUGACUGUCCCACCACACACACACUCACACACUCACACACUCACACACACACACUCACACACUCACACACACACACACACACACUCACACACACACACACACACACACUCACACACACACACACACACACACACACACACACACUCACACACACACACACACACACACACACACACACAGAGUUUUGUCUUACAUUGGUUGUGAGGACACCGGUUGACAUAAUGCAUUCCCUGCAUUAACCAGCUAACCCGACCCUAAGCCCAGACCGUACCCAGAGUCAGGGGCAGGUUGGGGCUGAAACACAUCAUGUGUCCUGCAGAGACAGUACAGGUCUGUGUGUAAUGAAUGUAUCGUCUCUCCUCUCACUGUCUUCGCUUCAUCUUCUUCAGUUUUCUGUUUCACUUCCAGACAAAAAAGUGCCAAAAAUAUUGAGACGCCGGUCAAAGUCUAGAAACCUAUGAACCAUGUUUACGUCACAUUCCUGCACUGUCAGUUCAUUUCCACCAGCUCACAGAGAGGACAUCAGUCUGUCACAGCCCAGGAAGCUGUGUCUCACACUCUGCACUGACCCCACAGCUCUCUGCAGGUGUCCACAGGAAAUAGAAAAUAUAAAAGCAGUGACGUGGACUUUGAGCACCAGCUGAUCAUUCGAUCACGUAUCACACAGAUAUAUCCUGACCACAGUGUGGUGUUGAACUGGGACGCUGAACUGGUUUCAUCUGUGUUUUACUGACGGGCUCAGUGAGGAUGCACCGACCAGUCUCCAGUAAAACCAGCAGCUCUGAUCUGAUCUGGGUUCAGCUUCACUGGGAUCUGCAGGACGACGCUCGUCAGACCUGAGGAACCUUUUUACAAACAAAUGUUUUUGGACCUUUUGACUUAAAGUCAGAGAUAUUUUUGUUCUUGGCUGAUUUUUCUCUCAGCAUCACAAACUGAAGCAGGUCAGGUGUCAGCAGUUUGACCUCUGACCUCCUCCAUGUGUUCACAGUGUUUUCAUUUCUUCAUGUGUGGACGUAUGUUUAUAUACUGUGAUUUUUCUUUGUUAGCUGCAGAUUGUUUCCUCUGAAACAAUCAAUGAAUAAAAAGACUUGGUGAGAAAACAUCAUGUUCAGGGCUGGAACACGGAGCGGCCCCGGACCCUCAGGGGCCUCAGGGGCCCCAGGCUUCAGCAGAAUCACUUUUAUUAUCACGAUAUGUUUUUACAUGUACGGUGAGAUGAACACGGGUCACGGUUAUCAGUGGGUGGAGAUCGGUUGGUGGGAACUUCAUUUGAAAUGUGUUUGGGAAUCAGCUCUAAAAUAAAGCCUUUUAUGAACUGAAUUUUGCAGGGGCCCUCAGGUGUCCCUGCCUGACAGAGGGGCCCC